AGAUGUGUCCUUGAUCAUCACAGCUUAUUUAAAUGGUUAAAUGACCAACAUGUCUUGAAGUUCUCCAGAGGCCUGGUAAUGAACUAAUCAUUUGAUUCAGGUGUGUAGACCCAGGGUGAGAUUUAAAACCUGUAGGACUCUGGCCUACAGAAGAAGAAUAAAGGAAAUCAUAGCAAUUACUGACUUUCAAGCUCAUUGGAAUUGUACAAACCCUUUUAUCUUAUAUUCUCUGGAGUUUUCCAAUUUCCCGUUGCACAGUAUAAAGAAAUCAGGGGUCUCUCAAUACUUUUGCACAGUACUGUACAGUAAAUGGCAAUAAACACACUGUGUGUCAAUUUUGUCCUGAACAUUUUCUGUGUAAAACGACUCAGUGUCUUCCCACCCUCUGCUACCAAUUGCUGACAGUGCCUAAAAAUAAUCAUAAAAAUGCAAUAAUGCUGAUGCUGUAGUCUGGAUUGGUGCUGCAAGAUCAGCUCUCUGGCAGAAAAGCAUGCUUUCAGUUAAUGUUUUACUGAUAAGUUCCAUGUUAGACAUGCUAAUCAGCAACAUGUUCUAAUUGCAAUGACAGAAACACAAUUCUGUCACAACUGUGCAAAGUGAUUGCUGGUGUCACUUACAUACAAAUAAAGACAGAGUCAAUGUAGCAAAAUUAACAAAACACUGUGAGUUAGAUUAGUUGAAUAAAACACGUCAUUGUCUCCACUUGCCUUCAGAACCAGCCUCCACUUUCUCCCCCUUUCUUAAACCAACUGUGUGUGUAACUGUGUGUGUGUAACUGUGUGUGUGUGUGAAUAAGAAGGUUUCUCUGAAGUUGUGAGGACAUAUGAGAGGUAUGCACUACCAGUUCCAGCUGGAUCUGGCUGACACACCUGCUCCACCUCAGUAAUCACUCACCUGGAGUACUUAAAGAGAGGUUCAUUUAUUUUUCCUUUGUCGGGUUUUUACAGUAGUACAAGCAGCAGCAUGUUGGGCUCACUGUUUUUGAGCUUACCUUUGGGUGUCCUUGUGCUCUGUAUCCCUCCUGUAAAUCAGCCAAACUUGUCCUUGGGAACUCCACUCACCUGAAAACCUGCAUCUGUCUCCUGGAUCUCCAGAAAUCAGCUCCUAGGAAAACCUACCUACCACUGUUGUCUGUGUCAUCGUUUCACCCAUUAACCCCUAUUUUUUGUGGCAAUAAGCUAUAAUACAUACAGUACAUAAAUAAAACAGUCAUUUACAUGUAACAAAAGAUUAGCUACUCAUUUUUAUAUAUCAUUUGGCCUCCUGCAGAUGUUUUUUGAAGAUGAACCUCUUGUCCUGGAACACCCUGUAUUAUAAUAACUAGCUUGUAGAAUUGCUGAGCUCUAUUUCUGUUGCAUCAAACUUGGAUGCUUUGAAGAUAUAACAGGUUAAAUGACAUCAUUGUCACUGUCGCUGUGUUUUAUUUGUUCUUUAAAGUUUGUAAUGUAAAAUAUACUAACAUUUACUACCAGUAUAGCGUAAUGAUGCCGCAGUGGACCAGGGGAGUGGUUGUUACCAUCAUUGUCAACAAAGAUCUAUCCAGUAUAAAUCAGUAUCAUAUUCACGACCAAGUUACUGUAUUAUGUUUAAGUCACAUACAACCAUGUGAUUUAAUGUAAUUUAAGAAAAGGCUUCAAGUAAAAUCAACCAAGCCAAACUAAAACUGACUUUAUGGUUUAAACAAAUUAUGUCUUUUUCUUGGUUUGAACUUUGUUGGAAACAUAUGAGAGAAUGCAAGCAGAAGCUAUGUGAACAGCUAGCACACAGUGAGGGUGACAUAGUGUAAAGAUAGACAGGACCCACUGCAGAGACUGGUCAUACGGAUUCUUUAGCCUCUUUUAAUUCAGUCAAGAUGUAGAUAACAUGGUGAUGUAUUAUCGUCUAAACUCCUCAGUCAUGACCCCAAGGCAGGAGAGAGGGUUCAUAUCACAGACAGUUUAGAAAUUCUGUAAUUUGACAGAUUCAAAUUACUGUUGUUAUGUAUGUAAUAACUGUUGUUAUUACAUGAUAAUGUUGUCCUUUGUAUAAUGUACAACCAAUGAUGCCAGAAGUCCCCUAGUCUGUGAUACUGUCAUCAUUUUCUUACAGUAUGUCUUAGCUGUAACUCUCUAGGUUCUUAUCUUAUUCAGGGUUAGGUAAAUAUGGGUCCAAUGUUUUGAUGCAUGUCUGUUAUAGCCUGUCACAUGCAAACACACACAACCUCACACGCCAGCAUAGCACAGAAAACUUUACAGUAAACAGUGGGUGAUCGUCAAGGUGCUUCACCCAGCUAUACUCUGUACUGAGUAUUACUUCAUGCUGUAUGUAUAUCUGAGUUCUGAUGUCUGUUUAGUUUCUGUGAACUUUUGGAUACCUUGUAGAGCACUGUACUGUUCUAGUGGUCAUUUUGAUUUCUUGGUUUUUAUUAAAUUUCAGUUUCUAUUUUCAGCUCCUUCUUUCUGGUGUGUCUGAUUCUCUCAGUGUUUGCCUGGCUUCAUCUCCCUCUGUCUCAUCUUUCUGCUUAUUCCUCUGUUACUGAUGUCUAGAGUCUUCUUGUCUCUGUGUUUAGCAUUGGCCUUUUUGUUGCUUUCUGUUUUAAUUGAAGGCUAAUUUUCUUUUUGUGAAUGUUCUCACCUGUUUUAUUCAUGUUCACUUGUGUGCUGCUCCCCUGUUUCCGGAAUUUUAAAAAAAAAAAGUGUUCAGAGAGUGAAUAUAUUUAUAUAUAGCUCAAAAAAUGAACAUUACAGCUCACCUUUAGUUUAAAUAGUUUUGCCUCCAGUCUUUGGAGCCUUACCUCUAUACUCUACUCUACAAUAAGGGUAAACAUGAACUGAUACUAUUUGCCCAGCAUCAGCUGUGCAAGGUUCCAGCCCCUACAACUAACACGAUGCUGGUGCAGAACCUGUUCCAUCGAGAACCAGCUACAAUUCCACAGAUUUGAGAGGCGAUAAUAAGUAGAAUUCUUAGCACAAGCAGCUAAAUUCCAUGAGGAGCAAGUCACGAUGGACAGAAUCUGUGAAAUACUGCGUACUGCUGCAUAAAAGUCUAGUAAAAGAUAAAUGAGAGUUAUUCUGAUCUGUCUUUCAUGCAAAGCUAAGCAGGUAGGAUCCAAGGAUAAAAAUAUAAAUAUGUAUAAAAUGUAUUCGACUUUUCUCAAGCAGGUUUUGUAUUUUGCAAAAAGUCCAAAUCUAAAAAGUGGGAAAACAGUGAUAUUAGAUUUGUUAUUAUUCACUCAUAAAAAUCACAUGCAAAAACGAAACUUUCAAGAGAUUACUAACUAAACUAAAGUAAUCAAAUAAACCUGUGUGCCCAGAUAUUUAAAUGACAUUACUGUCACGGUCCCCGUGCCUCACCGGCUGAUUCCGUGUUAGGCAACAUGUGUUUUGUUCUUGUGCUCUCUCUCUCCCUCUUUCCCCGGCCACAGCGGUGCUCACUGUGGGCUCCGCCCCUGGCCCACACACCUGUGCUCAUCAUCACACCUGGCGCUGGUUACUACAAUCAGAAGGGCUUUUUAAGAUGGCAGACCUACACUACUCGUCGCUGGAACGUUGAGUCACCUGCAUUCCCCCCCGGACCCGUCCUUGUACCCCUGAGUGAGCGAGAGGAGCGACUGGAGUGGAAAAGAGUGGGAUUGUUGGUUGAAAGAGCAGAGUGUGGUUUUGGACCCUUCCCCCCCUGGAGCCCCGGACCCCUUCCCCGAGCACCUUGUAUAUAUAUAAUCACCCGGUGACACCACUGUAAAUAAACGCACUAUCAGUUUCUGCAAAGGUCUCCUGUUCUGCGCCUGAGUCCGUUUACAAAACCGUGUCAAUUACUCAAUUUUUUAAAAAUGUAAACGUCAAUAUUCAGUGAGAACAAACCUGUGCUGACUACGAUAACCUCGAUGGCAACAGCAGUUUAGAUCUUUUUCAGUGGUUUUGCAGGCAUAUCUCUAGAUAUUACUUGCUUCAGGAAAAUCAAUCAGCAGCUAACAUUAGAAAGAACUGUAUCACAUCCCCUGUUUGCCAGUAAAGGUCAGCCGAGUGAAAUUACGUUAGACUACAAUGUUAACCAUGCUCAAAAUGAAUUUGCUGGAUUGUAAAAUCGGAAUUAGCUGCUGCUGGUUGUUUCUAAAGCAAAUUGUCAAUUUCAGAACAAUAUCCUGCUGAAAGAAAUUUUCAUUCUGUAUGUGAUGUGGUGAUUUUCUCCGACUCCUGUGAGCCCGGUGCAAAGCUGUGAGAAAAGAGCGAGUCCAUUUAUUUGUUAAGGCAAUUGAUUUCUCCAAAGAACAAGAAUAGAUAUGAGCGGUGACACACACUGAGAAAUCACUCAGGCUCUCUAUGAGGGCAUUCAUGUUGUCUGCCCUUUGCUUUGGUGAUAAAUCCCAAACGGGUAUUUAAGCUUCAUGUGGGAAUUCGGUUUCUUUCUUUAUUUCUAACAGAACUGGACUGCCUGGAGAAAAAUGAAGAAGCACGACAAACAAAUCUGUGCUAUGCUUUUUUAAUGCAGAGAAAUACGUCUGAUUAGUCUGAUCCACACUCUCCUUUUUGUUCACUCUCAGUUUGUUUCAGCAGGCAUGCGGUGAUGUAAGUUAACUUCAGAUAAAAUAUUGUAAACAAAUAUGUACACACGGUAAUAUAGCUGUCUAAAACCAUUCUUUCAAUAAAUGUAAAGUUACUGUAAACAUGCACUCUUUCAUCACUGAGCUCUCUCUGCACCCAGGCUCCACUCGCUCCGAUUAAAGGAUAACGAUAUGCUGUUAUGACAUCGCCACAGUAUUGUACUAUUUACCAGUUAGGCUAAAUGGCUUUAUAUUUGAAUGACAUGAUGAACCUGAACUCCGCCCAGCGUCCUGAAUGAUGCUGAUCACAUUUGGGUGGGGUUUGGCUGGACAUCUUGUGUGUUUUCAUGGGGCCUGGGUGCGAGAGCGAAGACUCGGCGUGCUGUUAAAGGGAACCAGAGUACAAAGGCAUGAAUGCCUGACCCUACGGCGGAGCUCAGUUUGCACCAUCAGAGCGUCUCUGCAGUCAUAUCAGUUCGGACAGUUUACUACAAACUCACCUCUUGUUUAGCUUUAACACAUACACAUUUACACUCUCUGAGAGGUGUACAUUACUUGUUUGGGAUGACAUUUUUAGUCAUUUUUCUUGAGAUUUAGAUCAGUGUUUCAAACAGAAUAAUCUCAUUCAAGGUCCACAUGUCACCUUUAUAUGCUGGAUUUUUGUGGUCGAUCCCUAUUUUUCAAAAAGAAAAGAAAAGAAAAGAAAAGCAUGAAGUGAUUGGAAUAAUUUACACAUUCAUAAAUUUGGUAUUAGUCUGCACCUUAAUCGUCAACGCUCAAAUGUCUCCACAAGUAUUUGAUCUACUGCCCUUACAAUUUCAGUUCACGGUUGCACGCUUUUCUGUCUAUUUGCUAUGUUAUCAGUAACCAGCAUGGACACUGCUUUCUAGGCUAAAUUUGGUCUUGAAACAAUGUAUCUUUAAAUUUGGUUGAAAAGUGAAAAGACCUUUGAAGACUAUAUAAAAAUCCUUGUUGGCUGCAACUAGGUCCAGGUUAAAGACCAAAGGUUACUGUGCUUUCCAGAUUGUUUAUUUUAAUUUGGUGUAUACCUGCUUCUGUAUUGUAAAGCACUUUGUGAAGCACUAUAUAAAUAAACCUUAUUUACUUCUUACUAAAAAA